UACGGGGGGGGGCAAGCGUUGUCCGGAAUUAUUGGGCGUAAAGAGCGCGUAGGCGGUCCGAUAAGUCGGCUGUGAAAGUCAAGGGCUCAACCCUUGAAAGCCGGCCGAUACUGUCGGACUAGAGUCCGGAAGAGGCGAGUGGAAUUCCCGGUGUAGCGGUGAAAUGCGCAGAUAUCGGGAGGAACACCAAUGGCGAAGGCA
rnacentral:rRNA from 1 species